GAGAAACAUCAGAUUCCUUAUCCGCGGAAAUCUCUCACAUGCACAACGGUCGAGCUUUGCCACCAACUGCAGCAAUGUCUUCGGCCACCCUCCCUCCGCCGGCGUCACCGAACCCGGAGGCGCCUCCGCGCGUCGUCCGCCCGCCGCCUAGGCGGUCACCGAGGUCGCCUGGGCCGCCGCUGUGGGCCAAGCGGCGGCCCUCCGUCUCCGUCGACUACGACCGCGGCCGCCGCACAGUCCGGGUCGAGGUGGACGGCGUAGGUGCCGACGCGCUCCCCGCGCGGCACCGCCUCCGCGUGGAGGGGAGCCGGUGGCAGCGGGACUGCAAGGUGUCCCAGGUCGCCGCGCGCGUGCUCGCGCUCCCGCGGGCCGACACCCAUGCCGUCGACGCCGUGCUCAACUGCUGGGCCGGGCGCUUCGCCUGCCGUAACUUCCCUCUCCUUAUUCGUGAAAUGGCCUUUUCUGGGUCCUUGCAACAUGCUGUAUAUGUGUUCUGCUGGAUGAAAAACCAGGAGAACUACUGUGCCCGUAAUGACAUUUAUGGUAUGAUGAUACGAUUACAUGCCAGACACAACCAGGUUGAUCAAGCACGUGGCCUGUUCUUUGAGAUGCAAGAAUGGCGGUGCAAGCCAGAUGCUGAUAUAUACAACUCUUUGAUCAAUGCUCAUGCUCGGGCUGGUCUAUGGCGCUGGGCCAUCAACAUUAUGGAUGAUAUGCUUCGUGCAGCUAUACCUCCUAGCCGAGCUACAUAUAAUAAUGUCAUAAAUGCAUGUGGUGCUGCUGGUAACUGGAAAAAGGCUUUAGAGCUUUGUAAGAAGAUGAUAAGAAAUGGUGUAGGGCCAGACUUGGUUACACACAAUAUUGUAUUAUCUGCUUUCAAGAAUGGCUCUCAGUAUUCGGAAGCCAUAGGUUACUUUGAAAUGAUGAAAGGAGCAAAUAUUGCCCCUGAUACUUUCACUUUGAAUAUUGUCAUCCAUUGCCUUGUAAAAGCCGGACAGCACGGAGAUGCUGUCGAUUUGUUAAACUCGAUGAGGGAGAAAAGAGCACAGUGUCCUCCAGAUGUUGUUACGUACACUAGCAUAAUGCAUUCUUAUUAUGUUUGUGGGCAAGUGAAAGAUUGCAAGGCAGUCUUUGAUAUGAUGGUUGCUGAAGGAGUUAAACCUAAUAUUGUAUCAUAUAAUGCACUUUUGGGUGCUUAUGCCUCACAUGGGAUGCACACUGAGGCCUUGGGAGUUUUCAAGUUACUGAAACAAAAUGGUCUGCGACCUGAUGUAGUUUCCUAUACCACUUUACUGAAUGCCUAUGGUAGGUCAGCACAGCCUGAAAAAGCUAGGGAGGUUUUUAACGAGAUGAGAAAGAACUCAUGCAAGCCAAACAAAGUCAGUUAUAAUGCACUAAUUGAUGCUUAUGGAUCUGCUGGAAUGUUCAAGGAGGCCAUUAGCUUACUGCAUGAAAUGGAGAAGGAUGGCAUUCCACCAGACGUUGUUUCAAUAAGUACCCUGUUGACUGCCUGUGGCCGCUGCAGGCAGACAACAAAAAUUGACACAGUUCUUGAAGCAGCAAAAUUUCGAGGGAUUGAACUUAAUAUUGUUGCGUACAACUCGGGCAUCGGAAGCUAUUUAAGUUUUGGAGAUUAUGAGAAAGCUUUGGAGUUCUACGCCGCAAUGAUGGCGAGCAAUGUGAAUCCAGAUGCUGUAACUUACAAUAUACUCAUCAGUGGAUUGUGUAAAUUGGGAAAAUAUGCAGAAUCUCUGAAAUUUUUUGAAGACAUGGUGGACUUGCAAAUUCCUUUAACCAAGGAGGUUUACUCGUCCUUGAUUUGUUCAUAUGUCAAACAGGACAAACUAGCUGAAGCGGAAUCUACUUUUAGUUAUAUGAAAACAUCUGGCUGCUUCCCUGAUGUUCUGACAUAUACUGCUAUGAUUCAAGCCUAUAUUGAUCAUGGGAGUUGGACGAGUGUGUGGGACCUAUUCAAAGAGAUGGAAGGAAAUGCCAUACUGCCAGAUGCCAUUAUAUGCUCAUCCCUCAUGGAAGCAUUGAAUAAAGGAAAUCAACAUGAAAGGGUCCUUCAGUUGAUGAAAUUCAUGCACGAUCGAUCCAUCCAAUUGAACCAAAAAGCUUAUUUUGAAAUAAUAGCUUCAUGCAGCAUGUAUGUCUAUCCACUCUCUUAAGUUGAACAAGCAUGAAUUGGUAAUUGCGCUGUUAUGAUCUGAACAAGGUCACUACGGUAACACCGGUGGUCGUUACUUUAUCAUUUUAAGCUACGGGACUGGAGAACUGCAAGUGAAAUAAUUGAACAUUUGGAUUCCUCUCUCCCAUCCAUUUCUGUUGGGAAGCUAAACCAUCUUCUGAAUUUUCUUGGAAAAUGUGGGAAGACAGAGAGUAUGAUGAAGCUGUUUUACAAGAUGGUGAGUUCAUGCUCUACUGUAGGCCUUUCUACUUAUAAGGUUCUGCUGAGAAAUCUCUUAGCAGUUGGAAAAUGGAGAAAGUAUGUCGAGGUUUUGCAGUGGAUGGAGGAUGCUGGAGUCCGUCCAACACUAUAUAUGUAUCAAAAUGUUCUUCCAUAUAUUUGGAGGGACAAUAGCAUGGAUUAUGUCACUCUUAUGCAGGAAAAAAUAA